rnacentral:antisense_RNA from 16 species
AGUGUUAUAGUUUUGAAGUGCUAUAAAAGCGUUAUUGAAAGCGCGUUUAAUACCCCUUUAGAAUUUAUAAAGAUCAAAAACUCGCAAAAAAAAUGAGAAUUAAAAUUGGAGUGAUAAUGGUGGCCACGACUGGACUUGAACCAGCGGCCACUACCA